rnacentral:misc_RNA from 1 species
CAUUCCUAUGAAAGGCAGCAAGGUCCUCUUAUUACAAAGCCCUACACCCAUCUCUCUGUUGCAGCAACAGAAUUUUCUUUGUGGGUCAUGCCAAAUAAUUGCAAAACUUUCAGCAAUUUGCAGUGGAAAAUGGUGAGAAAUUAUUCAGAUACUUCCAGUAGCAGAAUUGUAGCAUGAAAUGAUGUUUUUAUUGAUAUUUUUGCUGAUGCAACCAAAUGUCAUGUGAUCGGUUGUAAAGUAAUGGCUGUCCAUGUAUUAAGCUGCAAAUCCAAGAAGUUUGUCUUGCACUACUAGUUUGUCUUCAACCGUUUGACUGGGAAGCCUAAUCCACCCUGAAAUCAUCUAAUUAACUUAACAAAUUCUUAUAUUAGAAGAUCAGGAGGUAAGUCCUGUUGUGGAAAUUCUUGCGAGCCAUCAAUUUCUCUUUAUCGAGUAUUAGGCUGUAGAAAGAGGCCUAAUAACAGUAUCAAUGCAUACAUAUAUAUACAAAUAUAUAUGUUUCUCUAUCUAGUAUCAUACGUCCUGAAUCUUGUAUUGCAACAGAGGAACCUUAAGUGCUGAAUCUUGGAUCCAUUGCCCUUAUUUCCCGCUUGCCCUUUGGUUUUUCCCCACAUAACAGCAUAAAACCAACAUCCAAUAUAAAGAGCAUCUGCCAGAAAGAUGAUACCCAUGAGUGCAGCAGCAAUUAUCCCUAAAGGCUUGAACGUAGAAACAAAGAAAGGUCCACUCGUUCUCACACAUAAUUUAGUCAUGUCAGCCGAGUUGUACAGUCCCAACUUCUGCCUGGGAAACUUUCGCAUCCUCAUAUCAAUCCAUUUUGUCCUGCAGCUGGCUCUAUAAAUCACUGUGGCCACUUUAUUCUUGAUCACUUUAUGGCGAUUUUUUUUUCUAAUCAAACGCAAAACAUUCAUUGAUGAAAACAAAAGAUUACAACCUAUCUUCAGAUGGCAAUUCACAUAACUUAUCCGGAGGAUUUGAGCACCACCCUGGAAACAGGUCCCCGGAUCUAACAGAACUGCAAACCAUGGAAUCGAGCCAUGCAUAGCUAAAAUCGUUUGAGAUCAGAUUUAAUACAGCAAUCAGAUUGGCGAUGCAAUUCCAAUAUUAUUAAUUCAAAACCUAAUAAUAACUUAACAAACUGCUUGAUGGUUAUAAUUUCUGUUAAUUGUUUCAAUAUGAAUGGAAUCUAAAUUAGAGCUAUAAAAGCAUCCAGGUGGGAGAGAGUGAAGGGACAGCAACCCAGCUAAACGAUAUAUUUUAGAAUAUUUUCGAGUUGUUGUUUUCUGCGGGGUACGUUGAAGGAAACUAGCAUCAAAUUAAUAGAAACGUGACCUGGAAGAGGUAAACUGAAAAAUAGAAAAACAAAAAAAAAUUAAGAUUCAAGCACUUAUUUCUAGAUGACAUAAAUUCAAAAAGCCGCUGACGGCACAGGCCAUCCACAAAUCUGAAAAUAGCAGUCAUGUGAUGUCCUCCAGCAUUUUUGCUUAUUCUUCUCAGCAAUCCCAAAUGUAUUGUUGUUAAUGAUGACUACCGAUCAUGAUUAGAUUUCAAUAACGGGAACAAUGAUUAGGUUUGAUAAGAUAAAAUAUAUUAUCAUUUGGUGAAACGUUGGUAUUAGAUAAGAUAAUUAAGCUUUUAAUUAUUAGGAUUUUACCAUUUUAUUACUUAUAUUUUUCCUUAAAUUUUUAAUAAAUUAUGUGCCCAACAAAUGGGCAUGAUCUGUAUAUACUCAAGUUUCAUUUAGACAUGCAUAGUCUGGGCUUGGUCUCUUAGAUUUGAAUCCCACUCCAUCAAGGCUCAAUCCUCUACUAAUUAUAUAUAUAUAUAUGUGUGUGUG